GGCUCGGAUCUACGCGGUCAAGACGCCCAAAUCUUGUCAGGACCGGAAGGUAGCAGCAACAUGGGAUGCUCUAGAUAGGCGUAGACUCCGGGCCACU
rnacentral:SRP_RNA from 1 species